UACGUAGGUGGCGAGCGUUGUCCGGAUUUACUGGGCGUAAAGGGAGCGUAGGCGGACUUUUAAGUGAGAUGUGAAAUACUCGGGCUCAACUUGAGUGCUGCAUUUCAAACUGGAAGUCUAGAGUGCAGGAGAGGAGAAUGGAAUUCCUAGUGUAGCGGUGAAAUGCGUAGAUAUAUGAAGGAACACCGGUGGCGAAAGCGGCUCUCUGGCCUGUAACUGACACUGAGGCUCGAAAGCGUGGGGAGCAAACAGG
rnacentral:rRNA from 1 species